rnacentral:rRNA from 1 species
UGGGGAAUAUUGGACAAUGGGGGCAACCCUGAUCCAGCAAUGCCGCGUGUGUGAUGAAGGCCUUAGGGUUGUAAAGCACUUUCACUGGUGAAGAUGAUGACGGUAGCCAGAGAAGAAGCCCCGGCUAACUUCGUGCCAGCAGCCGCGGUAAUACGAAGGGGGCGAGCGUUGUUCGGAAUUACUGGGCGUAAAGGGAGCGCAGGCGGUUCAUUCAGUCAGGCGUGAAAGCCCUGGGCUCAACCCGGGAACUGCGCUUGAUACUGAUGAGCUUGAAAUCAGGAGAGGAUAGUGGAAUUCCCAGUGUAGAGGUGAAAUUCGUAGAUAUUGGGAAGAACACCGGUGGCGAAAGCGGCUAUCUGGCCUGAAUUUGACGCUGAGGCUCGAAAGCGUGGGGAGCAAACAGG